GACAGAGGGCCCAAGCGUGAGGCGGAAUCACUGGGCUUAAAGCGUGUGUAGGCGGACGCCUAAGUGUCGUGUGAAAUCCCCCGGCUCACCCGGGGAACUGCUGGGCAUACUGGGCGUCUUGGGCCAACUAGGGGCAGCCGGAACAAGCGGUGGAGCGGUGAAAUGCGUAGAUAUCGCUUGGAACGCCGAAGGUGAAAACAGGCUGCUGGGGUUGCGCCGACGCUGAGACACGAAAGCCAGGGGAGCAAACGGG
rnacentral:rRNA from 1 species